rnacentral:sRNA from 18 species
CGCCUCGUUGGUCGGCUUGAUACGGCAGCGGCGAGGGGAUACUGGUCUCUGUGGGGGGAGAGCUGAGAAGACCAGCGUGCGGGCGAAGAUAGCGCACGGCUCGAAAUGACUGUCGGAA